rnacentral:rRNA from 1 species
AACGAACGCUGGCGGCAGGCUUAACACAUGCAAGUCGAGCGCCCCGCAAGGGGAGCGGCAGACGGGUGAGUAACGCGUGGGAAUCUACCCAUCUCUACGGAAUAACGCAUGGAAACGUGUGCUAAUACCGUAUACGUCCUUCGGGAGAAAGAUUUAUCGGGGAUGGAUGAGCCCGCGUUGGAUUAGCUAGUUGGUGGGGUAAAGGCCUACCAAGGCGACGAUCCAUAGCUGGUCUGAGAGGAUGAUCAGCCACACUGGGACUGAGACACGGCCCAGACUCCUACGGGAGGCAGCAGUGGGGAAUAUUGGACAAUGGGCGCAAGCCUGAUCCAGCCAUGCCGCGUGAGUGAUGAAGGCCCUAGGGUUGUAAGCUCUUUCACCGGUGAAGAUAAUGACGGUAACCGGAGAAGAAGCCCCGGCUAACUUCGUGCCAGCCGCCGCCGUAAUAC